UCUUUCAGGCCUUUCCCAAUAACUGUACAAGAAUGCAGAAUGAAUCAGAACAGUCAUUUACAUUUCAUUUGAAUGCAGGUAGUAUGUUUUGUGCUAAAGCCUUGGCCUUACCUCUUACCGUGGAAUUUAACUUUGGAACAACUGUACAGAAAGACCAAUCCUGUAGCAAUGCUUUCCCCAUAGCAAGUAUUGCCGAGCAUGUGAAAGAUAUGUCACCAAACCUUGCCUUUUACAUACGAAUAGAAGAACAACAUAUGUGUUAUCAAUGAGGUUUAAGUACAUGGGAAAAUUACCCUCUAUUUACAUCACAGCUGUUUCUGAGCCUGCUGCAGCUCUGGUGUCAUGGGCAAACUGGACUCGAGGUACACUGAAGCAGGACAAAUAAGGAUCACUUUCAUGUGCACAAACAGUACAGAAAGAAGUGAAGUUGAAGAAGUGUUCCUAGUAAAACACAGAGGCCUCAGGUUGUGAAAUAACAGAUCCUUACAGAUUCUUUUGUGUGGUAGUGUGUUGCUAAGUUUCUUGUGUUAUUCCCCCAAUUUAUGUAUUGUUCUCCCCUAUUA
rnacentral:lncRNA from 1 species